UAUUUGCCUCUGUGUUCUCCCACAUACAAU
rnacentral:piRNA from 1 species